GGUGCUUACUUCAGCAGCAUAUCAUAUACUAAAAUUGGAAUGAUAUGGAGAUUAGCAUGGCCCUUGCACAGGGAUGACAUGCAAAUUUGUGAUGCAUUCCAUAUUUUA
ensembl:snRNA U6 U6 spliceosomal RNA